rnacentral:rRNA from 1 species
UACGUAGGGUGCGAGCGUUGUCCGGAAUUAUUGGGCGUAAAGAGCUCGUAGGCGGCUUGUCGCGUCGGAUGUGAAAGCCCGGGGCUUAACUCCGGGUCUGCAUUCGAUACGGGCAGGCUAGAGUGUGGUAGGGGAGAUCGGAAUUCCUGGUGUAGCGGUGAAAUGCGCAGAUAUCAGGAGGAACACCGGAGGCGAAGGCGGCUUGCUGGGCUCGGUCUGACGCUGAGGCGCGAAAGCGUGGGGAGCGAACAGG